UACGUAGGGGGCGAGCGUUAUCCGGAUUUACUGGGCGUAAAGCGCGCGCAGGCGGACGGGGAAGUCGGCUGCAAAAAGCGCCCGGCUCAACUGGGCGUAGCCGGCCGAGACUCCCGGUCUGGAGGGCGGCAGAGGCAAGCGGAAUUCCUGGUGUAGCGGUGAAAUGCGUAGAUAUCAGGAGGAACACCGGCGGUGUAGACGGCUUGCUAGACCAUAAACUGACGCUGGAGGCAACGAAAGCGUGGGUAGCAAACAGG
rnacentral:rRNA from 1 species